UUAAUGAUCUGCCCCCGAUCAGCUACUACCUGGCUGGUGCCCACAACUCCUACAGCUGCGUCCGAUAAAUUAUAUCCGGGAACUGCCCAUGUCUCACCCAAGUCUCAGCAGGAUACCAUGACUUGUUUAACUUUGUACAAUUCCCGGAGCCUAAGUUCCAUUCUACGCUGACAGUUACAUAACUAUUUCUCCCCUACGCCUUCCCGGCGCCCUAGACGGGAAAGCUUAGCCUGCCCGGACAACUGUUGUAUGCGGCGAAAUGCUGCACGAGCCUUGUCGGCUUCCGUCUUCCGCUGUUUAAUUUCGACUCUGGAGUUCACAAAAUGGCCAUUCCUGUAACGCAGUCCGUGUUUCCGGAGAUUGUCAGCACAGUAAAUAUCCAUCCAAGCCUUCUUCCUCGUCAACGAAACAUGUCGUUUGCGGUACCCACACAUCAACAGGACUUCUAAGCCUGCCACGGUUGCCUUUCCUCCACAGAAGUGUGGAGCUGACUAGCUGUGGGGCAGGAGCAACCAAGCAGAUACCAAGACUCCAGGAAGACGAUGGGAUGGUUCCUUGAUCCUAGGCACUCUCCAGUUCACUGGGUUCUUGUUCACUUUGUAACACUGGAAACUGAUUACCACUGCACAGUGUGUGCUAUGACAGCAUCGGCAGUAUUACUGGUUAUUGUCUAAGUGGCACUGCACCCUCGGGUGUCACUGCAAGGUGCCCGAUACCACCGUGAGUCUGGUUCCUGGUAUUGUUUGCUGCCUGGUCUGAUGUGUUGAUUGAUUUCCUGGAGUCAGCUGGCUUUGAGAUUUGCCGUGGCACAUGCUGAUGUCAAUGUAUUGUCCACAUGAAGUACAUUGGAACAGGGUUCUCCAGGCCUAGUGUUCACAACCAUUGGACUAGGAAUGAUUCCAAAACCUCUGUUGCCCUUGUUGGCCAAUUCGUAACAGAUGUUGUGGCAAUAAAAAUUCCGAUAUGAAACGAAUAAGAA
rnacentral:sRNA from 1 species